rfam:Canis lupus familiaris chromosome 10, whole genome shotgun sequence.
CGGGGGAGGCCGGAUCCGGGGCUGUGUCCCGGCGCCCUGUGCUCCGGAGCCUGCGCUGUUGGAUUCGCGCUCCCGGACCGCGCAGCCCCCU